rnacentral:rRNA from 1 species
GACGUAGGGUGCAAGCGUUGUCCGGAUUUAUUGGGCGUAAAGAGCUCGUAGGCGGCUUGUUGCGUCGACUGUGAAAACCCGCGGCUUAACCGCGGGCUUGCAGUUGAUACGGGCAGGCUAGAGUUCGGUAGGGGAGACUGGAAUUCCUGGUGUAGAGGUGAAAUUCGUAGAUAUUAGGAAGAACACCAGUGGCGAAGGCGGCUCACUGGCCCGGUACUGACGCUGAGGCGCGAAAGCGUGGGGAGCAAACAGG